CUUGCUUCUCUUGAGAGCGGCGGACGGGUGAGUAAUGCCUAGGAAUCUGCCUGGUAGUGGGGGAUAACGUUCGGAAACGGACGCUAAUACCGCAUACGUCCUACGGGAGAAAGCAGGGGACCUUCGGGCCUUGCGCUAUCAGAUGAGCCUAGGUCGGAUUAGCUAGUUGGUGGGGUAAUGGCUCACCAAGGCGACGAUCCGUAACUGGUCUGAGAGGAUGAUCAGUCACACUGGAACUGAGACACGGUCCAGACUCCUACGGGAGGCAGCAGUGGGGAAUAUUGGACAAUGGGCGAAAGCCUGAUCCAGCCAUGCCGCGUGUGUGAAGAAGGUCUUCGGAUUGUAAAGCACUUUAAGUUGGGAGGAAGGGUUGUAGAUUAAUACUCUGCAAUUUUGACGUUACCGACAGAAUAAGCACCGGCUAACUCUGUGCCAGCGGCCGCGGUAAUACAGAGGGUGCAAGCGUUAAUCGGAAUUACUGGGCGUAAAGCGCGCGUAGGUGGUUUGUUAAGUUGGAUGUGAAAUCCCCGGGCUCAACCUGGGAACUGCAUUCAAAACUGACUGACUAGAGUAUGGUAGAGGGUGGUGGAAUUUCCUGUGUAGCGGUGAAAUGCGUAGAUAUAGGAAGGAACACCAGUGGCGAAGGCGACCACCUGGACUAAUACUGACACUGA
rnacentral:rRNA from 1 species